AUGAUUGACCUAAAUGAGGAACCAGCUGAAAAUAAUGAUGAUCCUUUGUACUGUACACAACAUGCUACUGGAAAUGCAGAAUUUGUGGCGGAAUCACCUAAUCCCCCUAUCAUCCAAAGAGUCGAUGGUGCUGCUACAGAAGCAAUGGAGACAGAUGGGCAGUCAAGUCAUGGGGGGCGUGCUCCGGGCAGUACACAAGUACCUACAGUUGUAGCAGCUGGGAGUGAUGCUCAUACCCUUGAUGGCACAGGUGCUGCAGGUGAUACCGGUGGCACAGUUGGUAAUGGUUUGGGUGCUGAAAAUGAUGAUGAAGCUUGGUCACAGCCCAAGGAGCCUUACGUGGGCAUGAGGUUCGACACUUUGGAAGAUGCCAAGGUGCAUUACAAUGCAUAUUCCUUGUAG
rnacentral:rRNA from 1 species